rnacentral:rRNA from 1 species
UUGUCUCAAAGAUUAAGCCAUGCAUGUCUCAGUACAAGCCGAAUUAAGGUGAAACCGCGAAAGGCUCAUUAAAUCAGUUAUGGUUCCUUAGAUCGUACCCACAUUUACUUGGAUAACUGUGGUAAUUCUAGAGCUAAUACAUGCAAACAGAGCUCCAACCGGAAACGGAAGGAGCGCUUUUAUUAGAUCAAAACCAAUCGGUGGCGGUUCUCCGUCAUCGUACAACUUGGUGAAUCUGAAUAACUUUACGCUGAUCGCACGGUCUCGCACCGGCGACGCAUCUUUCAAAUGUCUGCCUUAUCAACUGUCGAUGGUAGGUUCUGCGCCUACCAUGGUUGUAACGGGUAACGGGGAAUCAGGGUUCGAUUCCGGAGAGGGAGCCUGAGAAACGGCUACCACAUCCAAGGAAGGCAGCAGGCGCGCAAAUUACCCACUCCCGGCACGGGGAGGUAGUGACGAAAAAUAACGAUACGGGACUCAUCCGAGGCCCCGUAAUCGGAAUGAGUACACUCUAAACCCUUUAACGAGGAUCAAUUGGAGGGCAAGUCUGGUGCCAGCAGCCGCGGUAAUUCCAGCUCCAAUAGCGUAUAUUAAAGUUGUUGCGGUUAAAAAGCUCGUAGUCGAAUCUGUGUCCCGCGCCGCCGGUUCAUCGUUCGCGGUGUUAACUGGCGUGCCGCGGGACGUCCUGCCGGUGGGCUUAGCUCGAGAGGGCGGCCCAACUCAAUCCCGCCGCGGUGCUCUUCAUUGAGUGUCGAGGUGGGCCGGCACGUUUACUUUGAACAAAUUAGAGUGCUUAAAGCAGGCUAAAACUUCGCCUGAAUACUGUGUGCAUGGAAUAAUGGAAUAGGACCUCGGUUCUAUUUUGUUGGUUUUCGGAACCCCGAGGUAAUGAUUAAUAGGAACGGAUGGGGGCAUUCGUAUUGCGACGUUAGAGGUGAAAUUCUUGGAUCGUCGCAAGACGGACAGAAGCGAAAGCAUUUGCCAAAAACGCUUUCAUUGAUCAAGAACGAAAGUUAGAGGUUCGAAGGCGAUCAGAUACCGCCCUAGUUCUAACCAUAAACGAUGCCAGCUAGCGAUCCGCCGACGUUCCUCCGAUGACUCGGCGGGCAGCUUCCGGGAAACCAAAGCUUUUGGGUUCCGGGGGAAGUAUGGUUGCAAAGCUGAAACUUAAAGGAAUUGACGGAAGGGCACCACCAGGAGUGGAGCCUGCGGCUUAAUU